rnacentral:rRNA from 1 species
AUUGAACGCUGGCGGCAUGCUUUACACAUGCAAGUCGAACGGCAGCACGGACUUCGGUCUGGUGGCGAGUGGCGAACGGGUGAGUAAUGUCUCGGAACGUGCCCGGUAGUGGGGGAUCACGUGGGGAAACUAACGCUAAUACCGCAUACGAUCUAGGGAUGAAAGCGGGGGCUCUUCAGACCUCGCGCGAUGGGAGCGGCCGAUAUCAGAUUAGGUAGUUGGUGGGGUAAAGGCCCACCAAGGCAACGAUCUGUAGCUGGUCUGAGAGGACGACCAGCCACACUGGGACUGAGACACGGUCCAGACUCCUACGGGAGGCAGCAGUGGGGAAUUUUGGACAAUGGGCGAAAGCCUGAUCCAGCCAUGCCGCGUGCAGGAAGAAGGCCCUCGGGUUGUAAACUGCUUUUGUACGGAACGAAAAGGUUUCUACUAAUACAGGGAGCUCAUGACGGUACUGGAAGAAUAAGCACCGGCUAACUACGUGCCAGCCGCCGCAGUAA